rnacentral:rRNA from 1 species
UACGUAGGGUGCAAGCGUUGUCCGGAAUUAUUGGGCGUAAAGCGUGCGCAGGCGGUUUUGUAAGUCUGUCGUGAAAUCCCCCGGGCUCAACCUGGGAACUGCAUCUGUGACUGUAUAGCUAGAGUACGGUAGAGGGGGGAUGGAAUUCCGCGUGUAGCAGUGAAAUGCGUAGAUAUGCGGAGGAACACCGAUGGCGAAGGCAAUCCCCUGGACCUGUACUGACGCUCAUGCACGAAAGCGUGGGGAGCAAACAGG